UACAGAGGGUGCAAGCGUUAAUCGGAAUUACUGGGCGUAAAGCGCGCGUAGGUGGUUCGUUAAGUUGGAUGUGAAAUCCCCGGGCUCAACCUGGGGACUGCAUUCAAAACUGACGAGCUAGAGUAUGGUAGAGGGUGGUGGAAUUUCCUGUGUAGCGGUGAAAUGCGUAGAUAUAGGAAGGAACACCAGUGGCGAAGGCGACCACCUGGACUGAUACUGACACUGAGGUGCGAAAGCGUGGGGAGCAAACAGG
rnacentral:rRNA from 1 species